UACGGGGGGAGCAAGCGUUGUUCGGAUUUACUGGGCGUAAAGGGCGCGUAGGCGGUCGUGACAAGUCACUUGUGAAAUCUCCGGGCUUAACCCGGAAAGGUCAACUGAUACUGUGCGACUAGAGUGCGGAAGGGGCAACUGGAAUUCUCGGUGUAGCGGUGAAAUGCGUAGAUAUCGAGAGGAACACCUGCGGCGAAGGCGGGUUGCUGGGCCGACACGUGACGCUGAUGCGCGAAAGCCAGGGGAGCGAACGGG
rnacentral:rRNA from 1 species